CACACACACAGAAACACACACACACACACAGACACAUGCAAAUCAAAUCAAAUUGUAUUUGUCACAUGACCCCCGAAUACAACGGGUGUAGACUGAACCCUGAAAUGCUUAUGAGCCCUUCCCAAUGAUGCAGAGUUAAACAAUUAGAAUAAAAAUAUUAACAGGAGGAAUAAAAUACACAUAAUGGAGCUAUAUAAAGGAAGUACCAGAUCAAUGUGGAGCUAUAUACAGGGAGUACCAGAUCAAUGUGGAGCUAUAUACAGGGAGUACCAGAUCAAUGUGGAGCUAUAUACAGGAAGUACCAGAUCAAUGUGGAGCUAUAUACAGGAAAUACCAGAUCAAUGUGGAGCUUUAUACAGGGAGUACCAGUUCAAUGUGGAGCUAUAUACAGGGAGUACCAGUACCAGAUCAAUGUGGAGCUAUAUACAGGAAGUACCAGAUUAAUGUGGAGCUAUAUACAGGAAGUACCAGAUUAAUGUGGAGCUAUAUACAGGAAGUACCAGUACCAGAUCAAUGUGGAGCUAUAUACAGGAAGUACCAGUACCAGAUCAAUGUGGAGCUAUAUACAAAAAGUAUCAGUACCAGAUCAACGUGGAGCUAUAUACAGGGAGUACCAGUACCAGAUCAAUGUGGAGCUAUAUACAGGGAGUACCAGAUCAAUGUGGAGUUAUAUACAGGAAGUACCAGAUCAAUAUGGAGCUAUAUACAGGAAGUACCAGUACCAGAUCAAUGUGGAGUUAUAUACAGGGUGUACCAGAUUAAUGUGGAGCUAUAUACAGGAAGUACCAGAUCAAUGUGGAGCUAUAUACAGGAAGUACCAGUACCAGAUCAAUUUGGAGCUAUAUACAGGGAGUACCAGAUCAAUGUGGAGCUAUAUACAGGAAGUACCAGUACCAGAUCAAUGUGGUGCUAUAUACAGGGAGUACCAGUACCAGAUCAAUGUGGAAAGGUACAAGGUAUUUGUAAAGUGACUAGGCAUCAGGAUAGAUAAUAAUGAGGUAUUUGAGGUAGAUAUGUACAUGAAGGCAGGGUAAAGUGACUAGGCAUCAGGAUAGAUAAUAAUGAGGUAUUUGAGGUAGAUAUGUACAUGAAGGCAGGGUAAAGUGACUAGACAUCAGGAUAGAUAAUAAUAAGGUAUUUGAGGUAGAUAUGUACAUGAAGGCAGGGUAAAGUGACUAGACAUCAGGAUAGAUAAUAAUAAGGUAUUUGAGGUAGAUAUGUACAUGAAGGCAGGGUAAAGUGACUAGACAUCAGGAUAGAUAAUAAUAAGGUAUUUGAGGUAGAUAUGUACAUGAAUGCAGGGUAAAGUGACUAGACAUCAGGAUAGAUAAUAAUAAGGUAUUUGAGGUAGAUAUGUACAUGAAGGCAGGGUAAAGUGACUAGACAUCAGGAUAGAUAAUAAUAAGGUAUUUGAGGUAGAUAUGUACAUGAAGACAGGGUAAAGUGACUAGACAUCAGGAUAGAUAAUAAUAGAGGUAGAUAUGUACAUGAAGGCAGGGUGAAGUGACUAGACAUCAGGAUAGAUAAUAAUAAGGUAGAUAUGUACAUGAAGGCAGGGUAAAGUGACUAGACAUCAGGAUAGAUAAUAAUAAGGUAGAUAUGUACAUGAAUGCAGGGUGAAGUGACUAGACAUCAGGAUAGAUAAUAAUAAGGUAUUUGAGGUAGAUAUGUACAUGAAGGCAGGGUAAAGUGACUAGACAUCAGGAUAGAUAAUAAUAAGGUAGAUAUGUACAUGAAGGCAGUGUAAAGUGACUAGGCAUCAGGAUAGAUAAUAAUAAGAUAUUUGAGGUAGAUAUGUACAUGAAGGCAGGGUGAAGUGACUAGACAUCAGGAUAGAUAAUAAUAAGAUAUUUGAGGUAGAUAUGUACAUGAAGGCAGGGUAAAGUGACUAGGCAUCAGGAUAGAUAAUAAUAAGAUAUUUGAGGUAGAUAUGUACAUGAAGGCAGGGUGAAGUGACUAGACAUCAGGAUAGAUAAUAAUAAGGUAGAUGUACAUGAAGGCAGGGUAAAGUGACUAGGCAUCAGGAUAGAUAAUAAUAAGGUAGAUAUGUACAUGAAGGCAGGGUAAAGUGACUAGACAUCCUGUAUAUGGCUGUGCCUCUUUAAGCAUCAGUCAGCUGUGACCGUAAUGUGGCAGACUGCUGGUUUGAGUUAGUGAACACAACUAGGGGGGUGACUCUCUUUGGUGUGUGUGUGUGUGUGUGCGUGUGUGUGUGUGUGUGUGUGUGUGUGUGUG